UACGAAGGGGGCUAGCGUUGCUCGGAAUCACUGGGCGUAAAGGGUGCGUAGGCGGGUCUUUAAGUCAGGGGUGAAAUCCUGGAGCUCAACUCCAGAACUGCCUUUGAUACUGAAGAUCUUGAGUCCGGAAGAGGAGAGUGGAAUUCCUGGUGUAGCGGUGAAAUGCGCAGAUAUCAGGAGGAACACCCGUGGCGAAAGCGGCUCUCUGGGACGGUACUGACGCUGAGACGCGAAAGCGUGGGGAGCAAACAGG
rnacentral:rRNA from 1 species